rnacentral:rRNA from 1 species
CCUUUUGUAUAAUGGGUCAGCGACUUAUAUUCUGUAGCAAGGUUAACCGAAUAGGGGAGCCGAAGGGAAACCGAGUCUUAACUGGGCGUUAAGUUGCAGGGUAUAGACCCGAAACCCGGUGAUCUAGCCAUGGGCAGGUUGAAGGUUGGGUAACACUAACUGGAGGACCGAACCGACUAAUGUUGAAAAAUUAGCGGAUGACUUGUGGCUGGGGGUGAAAGGCCAAUCAAACCGGGAGAUAGCUGGUUCUCCCCGAAAGCUAUUUAGGUAGCGCCUCGUGAACUCAUCUCCGGGGGUAGAGCACUGUUUCGGCAAGGGGGUCAUCCCGACUUACCAACCCGAUGCAAACUGCGAAUACCGGAGAAUGUUAUCACGGGAGACACACGGCGGGUGCUAACGUCCGUCGUGAAGAGGGAAACAACCCAGACCGCCAGCUAAGGUCCCAAAGUCAUGGUUAAGUGGGAAACGAUGUGGGAAGGCCCAGACAGCCAGGAUGUUGGCUUAGAAGCAGCCAUCAUUUAAAGAAAGCGUAAUAGCUCACUGGUCGAGUCGGCCUGCGCGGAAGAUGUAACGGGGCUAAACCAUGCACCGAAGCUGCGGCAGCGACGCUGAUGCGUUGUUGGGUAGGGGAGCGUUCUGUAAGCCUGUGAAGGUGUACUGUGAGGUAUGCUGGAGGUAUCAGAAGUGCGAAUGCUGACAUAAGUAACGAUAAAGCGGGUGAAAAGCCCGCUCGCCGGAAGACCAAGGGUUCCUGUCCAACGUUAAUCGGGGCAGGGUGAGUCGACCCCUAAGGCGAGGCCGAAAGGCGUAGUCGAUGGGAAACAGGUUAAUAUUCCUGUACUUGGUGUUACUGCGAAGGGGGGACGGAGAAGGCUAUGUUGGCCGGGCGACGGUUGUCCCGGUUUAAGCGUGUAGGCUGGUUUUCCAGGCAAAUCCGGAAAAUCAAGGCUGAGGCGUGAUGACGAGGCACUACGGUGCUGAAGCAACAAAUGCCCUGCUUCCAGGAAAAGCCUCUAAGCAUCAGGUAACAUCAAAUCGUACCCCAAACCGACACAGGUGGUCAGGUAGAGAAUACCAAGGCGCUUGAGAGAACUCGGGUGAAGGAACUAGGCAAAAUGGUGCCGUAACUUCGGGAGAAGG